UACGGGGGGGCGAAGCAGUUGUUCGGUGAAUUACUGGGCGUAAAGCGUGCGCAGGCGGUUGUGCAAGACCGAUGUGAAAUCCCCGGGCUUAAACCUGGGGAAUGGCAUUGGUGACUGCACGGCUAGAGUGUGUCAGAGGGGGGUAGAAUUCCACGUGUAGCAGUGAAAUGCGUAGAGAUGUGGAGGAAUACCGAUGGCGAAGGCAGCCCCCUGGGAUAACACUGACGCUCAUGCACGAAAGCGUGGGGAGCAAACAGG
rnacentral:rRNA from 1 species